UCGAGCGGCAAGGGCCUUCGGGCCCCUAGAGCGGCGGACGGGUGAGUAACACGUGGACAAUCUGCCCCCCGGUCCGGGAUAGCCCAGGGAAACCUGGAUCAAUACCGGAUGCGAGCGCGAGCACAGAAGUGCUUGCGGGGAAAGGCGCUUCGGCGUCGCCGGGGGAUGAGUCCGCGGCCCAUUAGCUAGACGGCGGGGUAAAGGCCCACCGUGGCGACGAUGGGUAGCCGGCCUGAGAGGGUAAUCGGCCACAUUGGAACUGAGACACGGUCCAGACUCCUACGGGAGGCAGCAGCUAAGAAUCUUCCGCAAUGGGCGAAAGCCUGACGGAGCGACGCCGCGUGAACGAUGAAGGCCGUGAGGUUGUAAAGUUCUUUUCGGGAGGAGGAAUAAGUGCGGCAGGCAAUGGCCGCAUGAUGACGUCAAUCCCGGAAUAAGCCCCGGCUAACUACGUGCCAGCAGCCGCGGUAACACGUAGGGGGCGAGCGUUGUUCGGAAUCAUUGGGCGUAAAGGGCGUGCAGGCGGCCCUGCAAGUCCGGCGUGAAAGGCCCCGGCUCAACCGGGGAGACGCGCUGGAAACUGCAGGGCUAGAGUACAGGAGGGGAUGUCGGAAUUCCAGGUGUAGGGGUGAAAUCUGUAGAUAUCUGGAAGAACACCAAUGGCGAAGGCAGACAUCUGGCCAUGUACUGACGCUGAGACGCGAAGGUGCGGGGAGCAAACAGGUUUAGAUACCCUGGUAGUCCGCACAGUAAACGAUGUUCACCAGGUGGCGGGGGGUCGACCCUCGGUACCGAAGCUAACGCAUUAAGUGAACCGCCUGGGGAGUAUGCUCGCAAGGGUGAAACUCAAA
rnacentral:rRNA from 1 species